rnacentral:tRNA from 1 species
UUUCCUAUAGGAUAAAUUAAAAUCCUUUAUGUUUAGGACAUAAAAAUAGGCUAAGGUCUUAGGAAAG